CCAGGCUGUGCGCACGUGCAGAGACAGAGGGUGAUGGGGAAGAGGGAGGGACAUUGGGACCUCCCAGAGAGAGUCCCCCAACUGAUAUCUUAACCCGGUGUUCAGGGCAGAGCAAGACUUGGCAGGUCUAGGCGUUCUCUCCAGAAGGCCGCUGUUACAUCUGCUGCAGGGACCCCGAGUCUAACAGCUGAGCACACCUCAUCACGUACGCAGAGAGCAGUGCACACAGGUGGACAAGUCAUUCCGCUUCUCCAUUAAAUGAGGGAAUUGGCAAAACGGCUCUUCAGUUCUAUCCAGCUCCCACGUUGUGUGAUAUGAGAAAGAAGAAACAGCUGGCUCAGGGGAAUCAAGUUCACCGAAAAAGGGACCAAAUGUUCUUCUUAGAACAGCACAUACCCAGAAACAAGUACAGGUGAAAGGAGAUUGUUGUCAAGUGGGUUUUCUUAUCUGAUCAUCUUCUCCUUUCUGAUGGUGAACAUGCCCAGUGAUAAUCAUCACCACCCCAGACUUUGAUAAAUCGGCAGCUCUAAUACUUCCUAUCAUAGCACACCUGUGCUCUGUGGCUCUCUUCCUGGGAGCAGGGCUCAUGCCACUUCCCAGUCUUCAGGAAAGCCUCCAUGGGGGCUGGACUCCCCUCCAGCCCCUGUCAACAUUGAGAUGCUGAGCAUCUGUGGAUUGCAUGGUUGGCGGGCAGCAGGGAUGUGGGGAGAGGGAAGAACGUGAAGGAAGGGGAUAAUAUCUACGUCUUCAACUGGGACUCAUAGGAAGCAGUAGAACGUCCCUAAAAUCUUACCCUUCCGCACUCACUCCCUCACCUGUAAAAACUCCAAAGCACAGAUAUGGUCAUGUGAUUGCUCGACUCAGAAAUCUUCAGUGACUUCCUGCUACCACACUUGGCAUUUGGGACCAUCAAUGACCGAACUCCAGGCCUUCCUUCCCAGCUUGCUGCCACCCACCCUUCAGUCAGGGUCUCUCAUCUCCUUGGGAGAAACCCCUCAUCUUUGCACCCCCACCUUUUUUCUGAGCUAGAUAUUCUUUCUUUUUUUUAUUUUAAUGGUUUUUUUUAUUAUAUUAUGUUAGUCACCAUACAGUACAUCCCUGGUUUCUGAUGUAAAGUUCGAUGAUUAGAUGUUCUUUCUAAAACGCUCUCAUUCCA